GUAGUCCACGCAGUAAACGAUGAGAACUGGAUGAGGGUGGAGUAAAAUCCAUCCGUAUCGAAGCUAACGCGUUAAGUUCUCCGCCUGGGGAGUACGGCCGCAAGGUUAAAACUCAAAGAAAUUGACGGGGGCCCGCACAAGCGGUGGAGUAUGUGGUUUAAUUCGAUGCAACGCGAAGAACCUUACCUGGUCUUGACAUGUCAGAGAGCUCGCAGAGAUGUGAGUGUGCCUUCGGGAAUCUGAACACAGGUGCUGCAUGGCUGUCGUCAGCUCGUGUCGUGAGAUGUUGGGUUAAGUCCCGCAACGAGCGCAACCCUCGUCUUUAGUUGCCAUCAUUCAGUUGGGCACUCUAAAGAGACUGCCGGUGAUAAGCCGGA
rnacentral:rRNA from 1 species